CAAAGUCCACAGGGAAAAUACCAGUGAUGUGAUAGUAACGGGACUAUUUUGGGUUUAGGUGGUUAAAGAGGCCUCUCCAAGGAGGUGCUGGUGAAGUGAAGCGAGAGGGUGAGGAGCCAGACAUGAAAAGAUCAGAAGCCCAUGACAGUUGGAGUGAAGAGAGCCAGAUGGUCUGAAAUUCUGAAGUAAAGAUACCUUCGCUUCCCAGGAACAGGUAGCAACCUUCACACUGAAAGAGUUAUUACAGUAAACUGACGAUGUGACAUCAGAAGACAUGCUUUUCUCUAUUAUCUGACAUACAGUUGGUACCGGACGAGUAAACCCCAUCUCUCCCCGGAGGCAGGAGUUUAUGAAGAAGCACAAAGAGGAUCAGGUUGGAGUCUGAAAGCCUGGGUUCUUGCUUUAGCCAUUCCCCUAACAGAAAGUUUGUGAUUUCAGACAGCACGUUUAAUCUCCUGCUUCAUUUAUUCAUUGGUAAGUGAGAGAUAAUUACUGAGGACCCCUCCGUCUCUUUCUGCAUUGUAUGCUUAUCUACAAAGUUUCAUCUCCUCAGUUACGUUUAAAAACACAGAAGAACAGAAGACAACUUCUCAAACUAGUAACAUGUCUUAAUCAAGUCCAGCAGUGUUGAGUGGACCAAAGAAGACGGAAAUCCUGGUUCUCACAGAGGUGGAGUGUCACAAAAUCUCACGUUCCGUGCGCUCCUGUCGUCUGUUUAAGGUAUUGAGAUGAAACAGAAGACUCCGUUUUAACUCCAAGACUCAGGCAUGAAGGUGCAGCCCCUGCGCUCCCCUAGGCUGCAGAGGAGCCCCUCGCCCUCGGGGCGCCUCCCCCCUCUCCCAGGUGCAGCCCCUCGCCCUCGGGGCGCCUCCCACUGGAGGGGCGCAGCCGGAGCCCCGACUGCUGGAGUCCGCCCGCGAGCAGCGCAGCCGCACCGUGGACCGCACGCGGACGGCCGAGGCCACGUUCCUGGACCCCUGAGGCGCCGGGACGGUCACGAGGCGGUGCGUCUCUGUGCCGCGGCGAGAGCCCGUGCGCCCCGCGCCACCCUGCACUGACGACCCCCGCCCUCGGCCAGGGUGCUCGCAGACUGGCCCGCAGGGUUCAGAGCGCAUCUUUUUCUCGCGCUGAGCUGCCACCUGCAGCCCCACAGCCCCUGCUGCGAGUGUUCCUACUUUUCACGGCUCUUUACAGCGAGAAGCUCCUCAGGUGUGCGGUCCGUGCUCCCGGACGGGGUGGGCGCGCUCCUCGUCACUCCCCACCCGGCGCCUGGAAAACAUUUACUCCUGUUUGUGUGUGUCCAGAGCCGCGCCUCCGCCAGUUACUGAUUUCUGUGACAGCCACGAGGAGGGUCCGCGCGGAAGGGCACGGAGAGCUCGUGACCUCCGGACGACCCCGAGCUCCCUCCGGGUACCCCGAGGCCCCUCACCCCGCACGCCCCGGCCCCACCUGGAGGUGUCGGUCCGCAUGCGCGCUGAGGACUGAGCCCAGCUGAGGCCUGGCGGUGAACCUUCCGGCCCCCGCGGCAGGUGCAGGUGCGGACACGUGCUGGGCGCCCAGGAGCCUGCAGGUAGAAGUUCUACAUGCCGGCUCGGAGAACCACAAACAGAUGGCAUGCCCUCCUCCGUGGAUGGUGUCCGGAGGCCUGUGAUGGGAUCGCUUCUGUGACGGAAUCUCCUGUGACUUCCCUGAAAUUGCCCUGACUUCAGUCCUCGACUCCACAGGCCAUAAAUGCUGUAAACCACCGGGGGCUUACCCAUCCUACUUGCUAGCUACUGUGGCCUCUCCGCAAAUAAGAGCUAUUAAAGGGAAAACUCUUCUUCCAAGUUUUCUCUCAAGAAAUCCCGACUAAAGUGUUCAUUCACUCUCA